CCUCUCCAUGUUUCUUCUUCUCCUUCUUCUUUUUCUUUUCACCAUCUGCACCUUCACCAUGAAUCUUGUCCUUGAUCUUGUCAACAAAUCCCUCCUUGUGCUCUUCCCCAUGGUGUCCUUCCUUGUGGUCUCCAUGACCAAAUCCAUGUUGCUCUCCUUUGUGCUCACCACCAUGUCCUCCUACAAAUCCAUGUUGUUCUCCUUUGUACUCACCGUGGUGUUCUCCUCCUACAUGUCCAUGUUGUUCUCCUUUGUGUUCUCCCUCUUUCUUGUCUCCUCCUAUGUGAAGGGCAUCACCAAUCUUGUUCAUGAUUCCAGCCAUAUUGUAUAUCUAUUUGUUUCUUUCUAUGAAUUUAUGAAUGUGUUUCUUCUUUGUUUUGUUUUUGAUUUGAUGUUAUACUAAGGAGAUGAUCAAUGGUAUUUAUAGGCUUAUAAGUGAAGGACAAAAACAAAAACAAUCCACACCAUUUAUGUGGAAAUGACUAAAAUAACCAUGGACGUGUCCUCUAUACGUGUGUAAU
rnacentral:lncRNA from 1 species